AUCGAACGAAGAGUUUGAUCCUGGCUCAGGAUGAACGCUGACAGAAUGCUUAACACAUGCAAGUCGACUCGAGUCUUCGGACUUGGGUGGCGCACGGGUGAGUAACGCGUAAAGAACUUGCCUCUUAGACCGGGACAACAUCUGGAAACGGAUGCUAAUACCGGAUAUUAUGGUUUUUUCGCAUGGAGGAAUCAUGAAAGCUA
rnacentral:rRNA from 1 species